rnacentral:rRNA from 1 species
AGGCGGGUGGUUUAGGUAAAUCCGGACCGCUACUAACGCUGAGAUACGAUGUCGAGCUACUACGGUAGUGAAGUCAUUGAUGCCAUGCUUCCAGGAAAAGCCUCUAAGCUUCAGAUUGUAAGGAAUCGUACCCCAAACCGACACAGGUGGUCGGGUAGAGAAUACCAAGGCGCUUGAGAGAACUCGGGUGAAGGAACUAGGCAAAAUGGUACCGUAACUUCGGGAGAAGGUACGCUCUUAUCAGUGAAGUCCCUUGCGGAUGGAGCAGACGAGAGUCGCAGAUACCAGGUGGCUGCAACUGUUUAUUAAAAACACAGCACUGUGCAAAAUCGUAAGAUGACGUAUACGGUGUGACGCCUGCCCGGUGCCGGAAGGUUAAUUGAUGGGGUUAGACUUCGGUCGAAGCUCUUGAUCGAAGCCCCGGUAAACGGCGGCCGUAACUAUAACGGUCCUAAGGUAGCGAAAUUCCUUGUCGGGUAAGUUCCGACCUGCACGAAUGGCGUAAUGAUGGCCACGCUGUCUCCACCCGAGACUCAGUGAAAUUGAAAUCGCUGUGAAGAUGCAGUGUACCCGCGGCUAGACGGAAAGACCCCGUGAACCUUUACUACAGCUUGGCACUGAACAUUGAACCUACAUGUGUAGGAUAGGUGGGAGACUUUGAAACCGCGUCGCUAGAUGUGGUGGAGUCGUCCUUGAAAUACCACCCUUGUAGUUUUGAUGUUCUAACGUUGGUCCCUGAAUCGGGAUUACGGACAGUGCCUGGUGGGUAGUUUGACUGGGGCGGUCUCCUCCCAAAGAGUAACGGAGGAGCACGAAGGUGGGCUAAACACGGUUGGACAUCGUGUGGUUAGUGCAAUGGCAUAAGCCCGCUUGACUGCGAGAAUGACAAUUCGAGCAGGUGCGAAAGCAGGUCAUAGUGAUCCGGUGGUUCUGAAUGGAAGGGCCAUCGCUCAACGGAUAAAAGGUACUCCGGGGAUAACAGGCUGAUACCGCCCAAGAGUUCAUAUCGACGGCGGUGUUUGGCACCUCGAUGUCGGCUCAUCACAUCCUGGGGCUGAAGUCGGUCCCAAGGGUAUGGCUGUUCGCCAUUUAAAGUGGUACGCGAGCUGGGUUUAGAACGUCGUGAGACAGUUCGGUCCCUAUCUGCCGUGGGCGUUGGAAAAUUGAAAGGGGCUGCUCCUAGUACGAGAGGACCGGAGUGGACGAACCUCUGGUGUUCGGGUUGUCAUGCCAAUGGCAUUGCCCGGUAGCUAAGUUCGGAAUCGAUAACCGCUGAAAGCAUCUAAGCGGGAAGCGAGCCUUGAGAUGAGUUUUCCCUGACGCUUUAAGCGUCCUAAAGGGUUGUCGUAGACUACGACGUUGAUAGGCAGGGUGUGUAAGUGCUGCGAGGCAUUGAGCUAACCUGUACUAAUUGCCCGUGAGGCUUAACCAUACAACACCCAAGGGGUUU